GCCCAGGGCCAGCGUGGGCAGCUGGCUCAGGGCGUUGGGAUCGCCCGCCGACGGGAGCGUGCGCGCCAGUUCCGGGCUGGCCACCAGGCAC
rnacentral:tRNA from 1 species